AGGGGCGCUACCGUCCAAAAGAACGAUAGCGGAAAGCUCCCCCGUAAUUCACGACUUUUUCGUUUGGUUUGUCAUCUCCCCAUUCCCCUUUCCUCUCUCCUCCGCAUCGAGCUUAUCCCCUCCCCCGAUCUCCUCCUGCGAUUCUCCUCGUCGGUGGCGAACGUGCCAGCGGGAAGGCCCUCAGAGAUUGUCCUGGUUGGUGGUAACAGUGGAGGCGGACUCUCUAUGGCACGGACUGGGGGAUCGAUGCAUCCAAGGAGGGUGGAUGUGAUGAGAGGGGUUCUUCGGCGGCGGCGCCCCGCGAUUCGACGCCGGCAAGGCGGACGGCCGGCAUCAGAGGAGUCGUGCAAGGAGUUUUUGCGGCCCGUCUUCGCCCAUCGAGUCGCCCGACCUGGGUGGCCGCACUGGUAGCUUCGAGACAGCGCCUUGCUGGUAAGAGGCACCAGCAUGUAGCAUCUGCUCUAUUUUUGGUCUCCGCUCCAGCCCAGUGCAGCUUGUUGCCGCACCUGAACAAUCUAGUUCUUUGCUGUGUGCUCUCUUGAGGAUUCAAAUGGUGUAAUAAGCUGGCUGUAAUUUUUGUAUCCGGCUGUACUUAUCUACUUCUUUUCCUCAAUUUCUCUGUAAUAUUUACAUUGGAUGUAAGUAUAGCAAUUUUCUCCACUUCUGGGUGAAGUUUCUGUAACUAGAUGUACUUCCUACCAUUUUUUACAUCCAGAUUGAUGCAAGUCUCCAUGUGUUUUUUCUCAAAUUUAGGUGGAAUUUUAUGUAUCUGGAUGUAAUUUUUAUUAUUUUUCUACAUCUAAAAUGCUGAAUGGACCAAGGUUUCCCAAGAACAAUAGUAGGUUUUCAUAGAUCUGGAUGUAUUUUUUUUCUUUUUUCUACAUCCCCGCUACUAUUUUUUACAUCCUCACUUUGAAUCACGAAUACUAGAAUUUUUCUGAGA